rnacentral:miRNA from 2 species
CAGGAUUUUAUACAUGUAAAGAAU